rnacentral:rRNA from 1 species
UACGUAGGGUGCAAGCGUUAAUCGGAAUUACUGGGCGUAAAGCGUGCGCAGGCGGUUAUGUAAGACAGGUGUGAAAUCCCCGGGCUUAACCUGGGAACUGCAUUUGUGACUGCAUAGCUAGAGUACGGCAGAGGGGGAUGGAAUUCCGCGUGUAGCAGUGAAAUGCGUAGAUAUGCGGAGGAACACCGAUGGCGAAGGCAAUCCCCUGGGCCUGUACUGACGCUCAUGCACGAAAGCGUGGGAGC